GGGGGUGAAGGGUUUCGACUCAAAGAGCUCCUAGAGGGUUGCAUGCCAGCGGGUAAGCCAGCUGCAAGAGGCUUACACACUACAAACGCAGAUUAUGCCUAUGCAGGCACUCCUGCUUACAAAUUAAACUAAGCAGGGCUCUUGUACUUCUUGCCUCAGGGAAGUAUAGGGGUUCGGUGAAUUGAGGAUAGGGGUAGGCUCUUACCUUAGGGGUUUACUCCAAAAAUCUAUAAGGUUGCCUCUUGGUGAAUCCUUCCUUUCGGAGUUACCAAGGGAAAGAUAAAAAGAGAGGAUAUGUAUGUAGAAGCCCUUUAUGAAAACUUUGAGGACGCGGGUUCGAUUCCCGCCACCUCCACCA
rnacentral:tmRNA from 1 species